AUCAGCAGCUCUGGAAUUGAAGUUACCUAUUUAUCCAUAGAACUGAUACAGCAUGGGCAGCAGCAAGCUUCCCCAAACCACCCCAUGCUCUGCCUUUUUCUUUCAACCUUGGGACCGCCUCUAGGGAAGAUAGGGUACGUGACUUUCUAUGCUAAGUCCAUCCUUGGUCUCC
rnacentral:sRNA from 1 species